UGGGGAAUUUUGGACAAUGGGGGCAACCCUGAUCCAGCAAUGCCGCGUGUGUGAAGAAGGCCUUCGGGUUGUAAAGCACUUUUGUCCGGAAAGAAAUCGCGCUGGUUAAUACCUGGCGUGGAUGACGGUACCGGAAGAAUAAGCACCGGCUAACUACGUGCCAGCAGCCGCGGUAAUACGUAGGGUGCGAGCGUUAAUCGGAAUUACUGGGCGUAAAGCGUGCGCAGGCGGUUUUGUAAGACAGGCGUGAAAUCCCCGGGCUUAACCUGGGAAUUGCGCUUGUGACUGCAAGGCUAGAGUGCGUCAGAGGGGGGUAGAAUUCCACGUGUAGCAGUGAAAUGCGUAGAGAUGUGGAGGAAUACCGAUGGCGAAGGCAGCCCCCUGGGACGUGACUGACGCUCAUGCACGAAAGCGUGGGGAGCAAACA
rnacentral:rRNA from 1 species